AUAGGUAGAGGAAAUAAGCAGAUGAUAUAGCCUUCUUCCAGUGGUUCUUCAAGCCUUGAUUGAGUAGAUUGUUUUGUUCCUAUUCUUGCUUUUUCAGCUCCUUCAAACCCCUCUUAAAGAGUGUGAAUUUUGCCUAAAGUUGUGUCAUUCAUCGACAUUAAUUCUAAAAAUGCGUGAAGCCCUUAAAACCAAGUAUAGCAAAGCAAGAAUAAUUCCCUUUUUGAAGACGUAAUUCCCCCGCGCUUUGCCUCUUCACUAGAGGCCUUCCCAUCUGCGCUCUCCUUUUUCUCUAUGCUUUACUAAAAAAAUUUGGGUUCUAUUUGGGUUUUAAAAAUACCUCUAAUGUAAAUGAUGUGACAAUACAAUACUCGUUUAUUUUCGUAUUUUAAAAAAGUUUUUUUAAAAAAUUAUUUAUUAUUUAUUUCAAAUUAAUUUUUUUAUUAUUUUCAGAUAUUUUACUGAUAUAAAAUAUAAAUUCAGAACAAAAAUAUUUUAAAAAAACAACUAAAUGCUCGUACGAUACCAAAAUAGCUAUGACUCGGGAUCUGUUAAGAAUUAUGUUGUUGUGUUUUGUGCAGGUGAAGGGAUGCACAAUCAAGAACAACAAUGCUGAGUAUUGAAGAACACGAACUACACACAAGGUGUUUGAUAAAAUGUCUCAAUUCAAUGCUGGAUGCUCUUGCAAGCAUACCAGAUUUGCAGCUACGGUGAUUCAGAGUUGCAACUUAUAGAAAGUGUGGCCGAAAACACGACUUGGUCGGGCACAGAAGCUGAUAUUGAUUAUCCAGAGUUGCAGCUAGGAAGUGGAAGGAAAAGGCUCAGGAGGAAGUAUCUGUGCUUUAUGCCAUUCUACUUCCUCCUCUAAUAUCAGUUGCACAUUGAUCAGUUUGUAUAUAAGCAAGUGGGUGUAGUGAUUCUUGUUUGAGUAGUGUAUCCUGAAAUAACUAGGUCGGGCACAGAAGCUGAUAUAGGGAGAUUUGCUAUUUUUCUGUUCAGAUGACCGGUGAGCCUUGGAUUUUAAAGACGAUAGGUACAAAUAGGUGGUAUUCGAGGGAGACAAUAGCAGCAAGCUGACAUUGAUUACUCUGUUACAUGCAAGGAUACAAGCAUGCUGCUCACUUUCCUCUUGCAAGCUUCUGUGACGUUCGUAAUGUAACAAAACCUGCUAUCAACUACGUGAUUUUCCGCUUUCC